rnacentral:lncRNA from 1 species
GCCUGGAAGAGUUACUUGUCACAGAUGCUGCAAUCCCUCUGCAUAUUAGGCUCUGGCCAUCUAAGCUGUUUGGAGCUAAGUAGAGUAUGCAAUGUGUAGGGCUGGGGAAGAAAGCUGGGGCUGAUCAUGGUGUUUUGCAGUAGCCAUGGCUAUCUGACAACACAAACCUACAAAUGGGAUUUUGAAGAAGGGCUGAAGUUUGUGAUAGAUCGUAACUGGAGGAAAUGAAUAAAGAGGAAAAAUCAGUCAAAAUUUGCACCUGAAAUCAAUAGAUUGAUGAGUGAAAAGAACAAUGAGUCAGCUAUUUCAAGAAUGAAAGAAGAAACUGAGGUUGGGGCACGUUAAACAAGACUCAGAGAGAUGACUCAGGUGGAACUAUCUGGGUUGGCAAUUGUCAUUUCUG